AAAUGUAUUAAUGUAAAUGAGUAGGCUGUGGAAUGAGUAGGCUAUGAAAAAUGAGUAGGCUAUGAAAUAUUUGUUUCAAAUGUUUUAUGUACGCAUAGAAAUUUUUUUUAGUCCGUAAAAAACCAUUUUUCAAUUCAGUUUGAAUUUUCUUUUAUCCUAUAAUAAAACGUUUUAAUACAAAUUGUUCAUCCCGUGAAGUUCUUCUAUAAAAGGUUAUGGGCGAAAAAGAGCAACACGGAAUCCCCCAGUUUAAUGGCAAAGGGUACGAUGAUUGGUUAAGUUUUGCGUUAAAAUCCAUUUGGACUCGGUGAAUGUUCUAACUGGCACGGAAAUGACGCAGUGAACAUGGAAGAAAGUGACGUGUUGGCGCAACUGUUUUUGGCGCUGCCUGAAAAAUUUGAUCCGCUAGUUACUGCGUCGCAAAAUGAAGAGGGACCCAAAUUAACAUUUUACAUCUAAAGAAAGGCUAAUUAGUGAAGAAUCAACAUUUUAUGACAGAAAUGAAGACGUUCAACAUCAAUCAACAGCUUUUUUAGCAAAAAGUUUCCGAAGAAAAAAUGUUUCAAUGGAAAAUGCUUCAAAUGCGAGUUUUUUGGCCACCAAGUUAAAAAUUGUUGACAGAAGGAUGUCAGAUCUGCAGAAAUUGGAUUCCAGGGCAAGUGACCAAAAAGUCCCUUUAGUGGCACUAGGACGGGGUUACCCGGUUACUCCAAAGAAUGCACUCAGCUGUAUGUGCUCCUAUCACACCAGUUGCGUGGGAUGGAUCGAAAUAUUUCGUGACGUUAUUGAUGACUAGUCAUUUUGCUCUAAUCUUUUGCAUUAAACAAAAAUCGGAUGUUUUCAAGAAAUUUAAAGAAUAAGAGACCUUAGUUACGUCUAUGCUCCCUAACGAAUAAAUUUCUACUUUAACAAUCGAUCAAGGAGGAGAAUAUUUGUCAAAAGAUCAGAUUUUGUGGUACAAAGAUAAAGAAAUUCAAGUAGAAACAACAGUUGUGUUCACCUCAACAAAAUUAUGUAUCGGAAAGAUUUAAUAGAACAAUAUCGAAAAAUAUCAGAGCAAUGUUAUUUGAA